rnacentral:rRNA from 1 species
AUUGAACGCUGGCGGCAUGCCUUACACAUGCAAGUCGAACGGUAACGGGCCUUCGGGUGCCGACGAGUGGCGAACGGGUGAGUAAUGCAUCGGAACGUACCUUUCAGUGGGGGAUAACGUAGCGAAAGUUACGCUAAUACCGCAUAUUCUGUGAGCAGGAAAGCAGGGGAUCGCAAGACCUUGCGCUGAUUGAGCGGCCGAUGUCAGAUUAGCUAGUUGGUGAGGUAAAGGCUCACCAAGGCGACGAUCUGUAGCGGGUCUGAGAGGAUGAUCCGCCACACUGGAACUGAGACACGGUCCAGACUCCUACGGGAGGCAGCAGUGGGGAAUUUUUGGACAAUGGGGGCAACCCUGAUCCAGCCAUGCCGCGUGAGCGAAGAAGGCCUUCGGUUGUAAAGCUCUGUCUGGAGGGACGAAGGAAGUAGACGGUACCUCCGGAGGAAGGCCACGGCGUAACUACGUG